CCUGUACAGAGGGAGUUAGCAGUGGCCGGAGGGUGUGAGACCUGGAUGGAGGGUCUGAGUGGUGGCCACAGUGUGUGAGUGGUGUCCGGAGGAAGUGAGUGGUGGCUGGAGGGUGUGAGACCUGGAUGGAGGGUCUCAGUGGUGGCAGUAGUGUGUGAGCAGUGGCCGGAGAGUGUGAGUGGUGGUCAGAGGGAGUGCACGGUGGCCAGAGAGCAUAAGUGGUGACUGGAUGGUAUGAGCGGUGGCUGGACGGUGUGAGCCAUGGCCGGAGGUUUUGAGUGGCACCCGAAGGGUGUGGCCGGAGGGAGUGAGCUCUGGCUGGAGGGAGUGGCCAGUGGCAGGAAGGUGUGAGCAAUGGCCAGAUGGUGUGAGGGGUGGUCAGAGGGAGUAAGCGGUGGCUUGAG
rnacentral:lncRNA from 1 species